ACCUCUGACUUGUUUUGAUCGUCCAUGAAAAAUAGCAUAGCAGAAUACGCAUUUUCUAAAUUCAUCAUUCCUGCUGUUGUCAGUCUUCUGGAAUCGUUAAUUAACAAUCGACCGGCCAGAAGUCCUCUGUCUUCCGGGAGGUUGAUGGGAAGGAUUUAGAAGACUCGUCAAUCUGGGUUACUCACCCUGUCAUUCAUUGUAAAUUUUAAUCCAUGUGCCACCAAUCUACAAGUAGAAACACAUGAGUCUCUAGGUUCCAAGGGAUGUUUGGAUGAGGCUCUACAGACCUCUCUUUCUGAGUCCAGUGCUGGGCUGUCAGUUCUCCUGAGUCGAUACAAACCCUCGCCUGGGGCCUGGACUCCCUGCUGAGGCUCCGGCCUGCUGGCGGGAGAUCAAAGCCCUGCUGAGAACAAUGCACACACAGUUUCUGCCAUCCCUACCCUUCUCUUCCUGCGGUUCUCAUGGCUUGGUUUCCUGUGGAAAAUGAAGAGACAGUCUACAGCGUGUACACAGCUGGUUGGGAGACAAGCGGCCCCGAUUGUCUGUGAUGUCGAGCUCGAGAGAGGGGAAGAUCUUGUUGAACAUCUUGAAGUCCUUGCCGAAGCGAGGCAUCUGGAUGAUGAGGCAGGAGGGCGCCUGGGAGGCGCACACAGGCAAAACAAACGCACACGUUACAGAGGAACACGCUGUCAUACACUUGCACAUACAUAAUAAGGGAGUCAGAUGGCUGAGCGGUUAGGGAAUCGGGAUAGUAAUCUGAAGGUUGCCAGUUCGAUUCCCGGCCGUGACAAAAUGCCGUUGUGUCCCUGGGCAAGGCACUUCACCCUACUCACCUAGGGGGGAAUGU